GCAUGGUUGGUCCAGUGGCAGAAUUGCCGCCUGCCAUCAAAAAGCAGUUCGCGGCAGACCCGGGUUCGAUUCCCGGACCAUGCA